GGCAGCUGCGCGGCGGCCCCGGGCCGGGCGGAACCGGCACCGGCGAGGCAGGGCCGGCAGCAGCAGGAGGAGCAGCAGGAGCCGGGAGCCUUGGGGCUGGGACAGACGGGCAGAGCCAAGCAAGAGCCUGAGGAGCUGCAGCCGCACUGAGCGGCCAGGACCAACCAAGCUGGACAAAGCUGAGCAGGCCCUGGGCGAGAGAGCUGCAGCCGUGUCAAAGUCACUGGAUGGGGCCGAGCAGGCACCAGGUGCUGGGCCGUGGCACUGCCACCACUGGCAGCAAGAGCUGGAGCAGUGGCAGCCACACCGGAGCACCGCGUGGGCUGAGACCGGGGAUGAGGCCUUGCUGCAGCCACCGACACCGUUGAAAAGCCUGCGCGGGGUGAUGCCUGUGCCAGGGAGCCACUGCCGGCUCCUGCCCUCCAGCGCGGGGCCCCGCGGGAGUGACCCAGCUGGGAAUCAGCUGCUGUUCUGGGGAAGGGGGUCACUGGGUUCCGCUGGGGCAGCCCCAAGCCCCUGUGCAGGGAAGGGGCAGUGAGCGACUGGCACAGGGGCGUUGGGAUGAUGACAAGCAACCAGUGCACGAAUACUGAACCAUAGGCAAACGACAAGCGCACAAACAUUGAACUGGGGACGAGCGACAAGUUCCUGGGCAUUGAAUGAUGUAGACUAAUGAGCUUGUGAAUAUUAAAUGAAGUUGACCAACUUGCUUAUGUGCAUGGAAUCUGUGUUAAUUAAUUAGUUAAUAUUGAUUCAAUAACUGUAACCUAAUUGGUUAAUUAUUAUUGAAAAUAUUGACAGGGCCAUAAAUCAAUCACUGUCACAGCUUGGAAAAUGAUGUCAUGCUUUAAUAAUAUUGGAUCAGUAUUGAGCAAUCAGUUUCUGUACAUUGAGGAGUCAGCAAUGAGGUUAUGAAUACUGAACUACUGCUAAUGAACUUAGUCAACAUUCUUUGAAUAUUCAUAAUUUGGUUGUGCACACUGACUCAGUAUGAGUAGCUUAUGAAUACUGAAUGUGUUGACUACUUAGUUCAUGAAUAUUCAAUAUAUGUUGGCUAAUUACCUUAUGUACAUUGGAUGUACAUUGGACUAAUCAGCUCAGGUAUACUGAAUCGGUAUUGACUCAUUAGUUCAUACUGAUUCAGCAACGAUAAGCUAAUUGGUUAAUUAUUACUGAAAGUACUGAUGGCCAUAAAUUAAUCACAGUCACAGCUUGGAGAUUGAUGUCAGCAUUUAAUGUUGGAUCAGGACUGAGCAAUUAGCUUAUGUACAUUGGUCCAGUGUUGACUAAUGACCUUAUGUAUAUGGAAUCAGUGCUGACUAAUUAGCUUAUAGUAGUGAAUCAGCAUUAACUAAUUGGUUAAUUAUUACUGAAAUUAUUGACAGGGCUGUAAAUCAAUCACUGUCACAGCUUGGAGAUUGAUGUCGUGCUUUAAUAUUGGAUCAGUGUUGAACAAUGAGUUUCUGUACAUUGAAUGAGGAGUCAGCAGUGAGGUUAUGAAUACUGAACCACUGCUGACUAAUAAACUUAUGAAUAUUCAAUGAAUGCUGACUAAU
ensembl:lncRNA